GUCCACGGAGAAACACGAGAAGCAACGAAUAAUCCCGUCUUGAGUGCCUGCCUGCCUCACCCAGUUUCCCCAGGCGCUUUCCAUCCGAGCAAAGGCAAAUGGCGAGCCCAGGAGGACCCAAACCGGGGGAAGAUGCCAAUUACGCGUAGAUUAGAUUAUGUCCUGGCGGCCUGCCCUGCCGCAAAAGCCUUCGAUGCAGCUGUCGGACUUGGAACGGGUCAUGCAAGGAGGAUUUUGAAGGCAGGAAACUUGUGAAGAAACUGCCGCCCAAGCAAAACAAAACAGAGUUCUCAAGCCGGCAGCGCAGAGUCGUCGCAUCGCAGCUCGAUCAUUGCAGUUGCAUCCCCAACCAUCGGAGCGUUUCCCCCGAUGAUCCCCUUCUCCCUCCUCGCCGUCCUCCUCGUCGGCGCCGCCAUCCAAAUCCACGGCGCCGACGCUCUGCCAGGGCACCAGAUAAACUGCGGCGCGGGCUCCGAGCACGCGGCCGGGAACGUGACAUGGGUUCCCGACGGCCGGUUCGUCACCGUCGGCAACGCCACCGACAUCAAGUCCCCGGGCACGAUGCCGAUGCUGUCGUCGCUCCGGUACUUCCCGGACACCUCGGCCAGGAAGUACUGCUACGUUCUCCCCGCGGAGAAGAAGGCCAAGUACCUGGUCCGGACGACCUACUUCUACGGCGGCUUCGACGGCGGCGAGUCCCCGCCGGUGUUCGACCAGAUCAUCGAGGGCACGCGCUGGAGCCAGGUCGACACGGCCGCCGACUACGCCAUGGGCCGCGCCACGUACUACGAGGCCGUGGUGCGCGCCAUGGGCAAGGAGGUCAGCGUUUGCCUUGCCAGGAGCGCCGCCACCGCGCCCGGGAAAAGCCCCUUUAUCUCCGCGCUCGAGGUGGUGCCGUUGGAGGACUCCGUGUACAACUCCACCGACUUCGCGUCCUACGCCCUUAGCACGAUCGCGCGCCACAGCUUCGGCCACGACGGCUCCUCCGUCAUCAGCAACCCGGGCGAUCAGUUCAACCGGUAUUGGGAACCGUACAGCGAUGGGAGUCGCCCGGUGGUGGAGAGCCAGGGGAGCGUGGAGCCGGCGGCGUUGUGGAACAAGGCGCCGGAGGACGUGUUUCGGAGAGGCGUGACGGCCAGCCGAGGCGAGACCCUGGAGCUCCAGUGGCCGCCGGCGCUUCUCCCCGCCGCGAACUACUACCUGGCGCUCUACUUCCAGGACAACCGGACGCCGAGCCCGCUCAGCUGGAGAGUCUUCGACGUGGCGGUCAACGGCCAGGCGUUCUUCGCCGGUCUGAACGUGUCGACGGCUGGCUCGAUGCUGUACGGUGCCCAAUGGCCGCUCUCCGGGCAGACGAAGAUCACGCUGACGCCUGCCCCGGGAUCGCCGGUCGGGCCGGUGAUCAAUGCGGCGGAGCUCAUGAUGGUUGUUCCGCUCGGAGGGAGGACUAAUCCUAGAGAUGUGAUCGGCAUGGAGGCGCUCGCGAGAGGCUUCGUCAGUCCGCCAUCAGACUGGAGAGGCGAUCCUUGCUUGCCCCAGGGUAACUCAUGGACGGGUGUUGCCUGCUCUCAAGAACCGCUUGCUCGAGUAAUUUCCCUCAACCUCACAAAUUUCAAUGUUGGAGGGUCAAUAUCUGACCACAUUGCUAAUCUGACUGCAAUUUCGAGCAUUUGGCUUGCGGGGAACAAUCUGACAGGAACAAUUCCAGAUAUGAGCCCGCUACAUCAUUUGGCUUCUUUGCACCUGGAGAACAACCGGCUGACAGGGCCGAUUCUUCAAUCGCUGGGAACUCUUCCAAAGCUUCAAGAAUUGUUUGUGCAGAAUAACAAUUUACAGGGCAUCAUUCCAAGCAACCUCAAGAACAGAAUGGGCAUUACAUUCGAGUAUACGCCUGGCAAUACCCUUAGCUAACAAAAAUGUUACAAGGGACAAACAAUAGUAUGAGAAUGAGGACACGCAUAUCUGGCUGGCAAUCGUACGUGAUUUUUUUAAUGGGCCGGCCCAUCACCUGAUAAGCUGCAUCCCUGUGUCAGUGGGGGUGUGAUAGGAUUUACGGCGUGGACCGCACCAAAUGGUCCUCGUGAGCCGAGCAUCACCCCGUCGCGAUCCAGAACAAAACGGCAUUGGCCCUGUACAACCGUGGAUGGUUGAGUCGGCCUUAAGCGCUUUAGCGAAGGUCCUUUGUCACAGGCCUUGGGUAAGUUUAGGCCCAGAUUGGAGGAACAUGGAAGCCUAGGCCGAAGCGUCAAGAUAACUGUUGUUGUUCGCUAAAAAAAAGAUAACUGUUGUUGAGUGUCUCUAUUCGCAGCAAACGUUUCUUCAGACUGGGAAAAGCUGCAGAGAUAUUACUGAGGAUGAGGAGGAACGGAGCUGUACUUGUUGAUCGAGCGCAGCGUAUUAUUGGUAUUGUUGAAGUAGUAAAUUGUCUAUCCUUUUUUCAUAAGCUCAGGCUUUUGGUUCAGACGGCUAUCACAUGCAAUUCAUCAGAGCUGGAGGCCAUUCAAUAAGACCACCAACAUUGACCGUAA